rnacentral:tRNA from 1 species
ACGAUUUAUUAUGUGCGCAUUGGGGCUAUAGCUCAGCUGGGAGAGCGCUUGCAUGGCAUGCAAGAGGUCGACG